rnacentral:lncRNA from 1 species
UCCGCAACAACAUUUGUAACAUCGUCGAUGACGAUAAUAUUAUUAUAACUAUUGUGUUUCUUUUAAAAUAUUAUAAUUUCUACAUUAUGUUUUUUUUUUCCGACGACCGUGAAUAUUUUCUUUGAAAAAUAUAAUAACAUUCUAUCGUCGGUCUGAAAUAAACGAUAGUCCACCGAACGUACACUACCGAAAACCGUCGAUAUAAUAUUGCUGUUUUUGAAGGGGAAUCGAUACGAUACCCAUAACACACUCGUUCAACCGUUACUGAAAUAAUAAUAAUUAAUAAAAUCAUUUACUUUGAUGGUUUUUAAUAAUAAUAUACCCGUAUCAUUUUUUUUCAUCCCUCCCUACCCCGAAUCCCGAUUAUUUCGGAGAUUUGCACACGCGUACCAUUAAAACUGUUUAAAGUAUCGUUAAAACGAAAAUGUUCCGAAAAGAAAAUUUAAAUAAUGUUUACGAAACGUGUAUCGGCCGGGCCCUUUACAUUAUAAAUUAGUAAAACUUUCGAAAAUUUAAAACAAUGUAUUUUAUAAAACUUUUAAAAGAAAAAAACUGCUUAGCAAAAAUAAAAAAUAAAACCCUUAUUCGGGAAUAAUUUAUUAAAUUUCCAUGGUUUUUUCCCUCCCUUAAUAAAUCUGAUAAUUAUUUGUAUUCAACUAUUUUUUACGAAUUCCGUCGAGAUAAGAAUACAAUAAAACCAUCGGACUAUAAUCGAAUAUUUCAAACAAUAUUUUGUCCGUCGAUAAGACUCAUUUUUUACACGAUUCCGAGUGCGCGAAUAAAAUCAAAACGGUUCGACUUGCUAUCUGAAUUUCACUUCAAGUGUGCACCACUGACCAAACGAACGUGUUAUAAAAUACAUAUGACGACGUGUACGCCAUAAUCGGACUUGUGACGUAUUCGAGAAAAAUUAUUUGAACGCAGAAACUAUAUAUAUUAAUAGUUGUAUGUUACAAAUACGUAUAUAUUUUAAAAUGCUUUAGCGAACGCGUUACGGUGUUCAAAAUAUGAUAUCUUUAUUCGUAACGUCUUAAAAAAAAAAAAAAAAAAAAAUAUUUAAACGCGACGCUCCACACACAAUAAUGGUUCGAAAUGUUAACUCGCGAGUUCUAACGAACGUAUUGAUUGCAGUCAUAUUUAUGUAUUAUAACGUUGGUUUACACGGUUCAAACUAUUUGAAUGUAUUUACAAAUGCAUAGUUGUGUGCCCGAGCGCGUUGUUUUUUAUUUUUCUAAAUACUCGGAAUGAACGGUACCCUCUUGAAGAGUAUCAUCUACAAGUCUGAGGGCUCACGCAAUACGUCAUAUUUCGUACAGACAUAAUGCAUUAUCAUUAAACGAUAAAACGUUCUGACCGUAAUAUAAAAAUAAUUUAUCAGCUAUAUUAUAUUCGUUCGAACAAACUAAUAUUAUUGUAAAAGUAAAAAAAAAAAAAAACAAAAAAAAAACAUAUCUUUAACAUUUCUUUCUUUAUUAACCUUAAAAAAUGCCAAAAAAAUAUGAAUAUUAUUUAAUCUUACGCGUGUAUAAUGUAUAUGUAACAAUAAUUUAUAAUACCACCACAACGUUGUUCCGUACGUGUUAUGAAACUAUUCUGAGGAAAAAAAACUGUUUUGCAUUAUAGGAUAAGCUAAUAUAUUGAAUAUAAAUUAAUAUUGAUAAUUAAUAUAAAAUAAUAAAAUAACGAGUUGUUUGUAUCUAUACGUACGUGUUUUUUUCCGUUUGUUAAUAACGAUAAUAUUUCAUUAUUAACAACCACGACUGUAUAAUAAACGCUUAACUGUUUGUUAAAACGAAAAUUAGGUACAUAUGAUAUAGGUAUAAGAGUCGAUACUUAUUAUAUAAGUGUAGAGUUUAUAAUAAGAAAAUAUUAAAAAUCGUAAACGUGGUCAGUUUUUCUUCCGUUUAAGAAAGAAAACACGCCACUUUAGUCGUCCUCCCCCGUCCUUAUAGAUUUAUUCGAUUUCGGUUGUGUUAAUAGAAUCGUAACCUAACCUACCCGUGCCGGGUCGCGUGAAAACUGUUCUGUAAAUUGUUAGAUUGAUAAUCAAUCGGUUCUGUAAAACUGCAGUUAUUGAACAGAUAGCGUUUCGUGAACGUGAUACCCGCGUGUGUUUUCUCCGUGUUACAAACGUACGACAUGGUAAAUUUGCGUUCAGUUGGGUCGACUUUGUGCUAUUAGUUUCAACACAUUACAGUGAAUUGACUUAUUAUUAAACUUAAAGGCAAAAUCAUUGUCUGAUCUCGACGUCGGCGCAAUUUUUUGAUGUAUUGAUUUUUAAAUUGUUAAAUGUCAUAAUUUAAAAAUGCUUGUAUUUCGGUUAAAAAAUAAUAUAUCGAAAAAAAUAGCACGAACGUUACGCAGUUAUUGUUCUUAUGUUUAAGUUUGGCAAUGAGUCUAGUCACUAUUAUAUUAAAACUAACAGCACAAACGUCGUACCUGUUGAGUUUGUUUUGUCGUAGGUACCUACGUGCGUAAGAAGUACGCAAUCGCAUCGUUUUAAUUAAUAAUUUUAUCCGUACCAAACAUUACGGUGUUGAAUUAAUAUAAUUGACGUAAAUUGAUUAAAAAAAAACAAAAAUGAAACCCGAAGUCAUAAAUCGUGUUUGACGAUUGAAUGAAAAACAAUCAAGUUUGUGUCAAACAGUUCUGCAAAUUGUACAGAACUAAAAUCAAUUCAACGGUUUAUCGAUUAAACAACUGUGACAACGUGUUCGAUACCGAUAUCGUUCAUUUUACAGAUCGGUUUUUAACUUUACAGAACCGAUAGUCGGUUAUCGGUUAGGUUUCACGCGGCCCGGCACUAGUUUAAUAUUAAUUCGUUUAGCGUUGUUUAGCAUAGUAUUGGUACAUAUUUCACAUUGUUUUGUUAUCUUCUCAAACUUUAUUAUGAUUAUUAAUAAUAUUAUUGUUAAGAUUUUGUUUUUUUUUUUUUUCGAUUUACAUACUAUACAAUAUUAUAAUACAAUAUACUACUUAACCAUAAUUAUACUACCGUAAAAAUAUUAAUAAUUAUAAAAACUAAUCAUGAUUGAUUUAAUAUUAACAGCUAACGUGUAUAAUUUUUAAUAUUAUUAUUAAUUAUUAAUUUAGGUACCCGCUUAAUCAACGGUAAUAGUUAUAGCGAUAAACUGAUAAUAAUUAUAAUAAUAUUUAAACGCUUAUAAAUUAAUCCGGAAAUUAUGCAUUAACACAUAUUAUAUUGUUAUCAUUAUUAUAAUAGUAUAAUAUAUUAUAUUAUGUUAUAGCGACUUAAUAGGGGUUAUUUUAUAAUUUUUUAUUUUUUGUAAUCGAGACGAAACACAAGCCGAACUACCUUUAUGCACCCUCCAUCAAUCAAUUAUUGAUCCGUAUAAAAAAAAAAAAAUACAUUAAUAUGAAAAGUGAAGGCAGGUUUGAUGGCUUUUCUUUUAUUUUUUUCCAAAAACCAAUAAACCUUUAACGUGUAAUAAUAUUUUAACCGAGAUCAAAAUUAUUGUUGUACGAUUUUUUGUUAUUAUUUUCCAUCUGUAUAGUAUUAUAUUGAUGUAGUACCUGUUUCGAACGGAAAAUCCCUAUAAUUUAUUGUUUUUAUUUUACGAUUAACAAAAAAUAAUUAUUUUUUUAUUUGUUUUUUUUUUUUUUUCAUUUUUAAGUUCACUAUAAUAUUUAUUACUACAACUUAUUGUCGUCGCACACUUUUCCCCCCCUCUUUUGACACAACAGUACCUACAUAAUGUUCGAUGUAUUAUUAUAAUGUUGAAAUUCGAUUUAUAAGUGCAUACGAUACAAAAAAAAAUUUUUAAAAAAAACCCCUGAAAAUAUCGGCGUUAUUCGACUAAAAUUUUUAAUAAAAACGAUUUUUAAAAUAAAUACAAUAUUAUCUAUUAUAUUACAUAGGCGCCUUUCUUUUUCGUGCAUCUUAUUAUCGAUAUAAUAUUUGAUUAACGAGAACAUUGUGUUCUAUAUUACAAUUACAUAGUAUAGGAAUAACAUAUUUAUAACGUGUAAAUAUAUGAGCUUUUAUUUUAAUUUUUUUUUUUCCUAAGCUAAUAAUAAAAAUUUAUACAAACUAUACAGGAACGCAUACGAAAUAUUGAUUAUAACAAUAUAAUAUAUUAUAAUUAUUCGUUUUUUUUUUUUUUUUUUAUUAUUAUUAAAUAUAUAUUAAAUACCUAUUAUAUAACCACUACGCUAUUAUUAUAUUAUAAGAAAUUUAUGAAAAAAAAAAAUCAAAUACUUCGUAAUAUCCAUAAUAUUAUAAUGUAUAAAAAAAAUUAUACGGUAAUACCGUGCAUUAUUAUUGAUAAUGUUUUACCGUUCUAUUAUUGUAAUACAAUGAAUUAUACGAAUGCGAAAACGGUAAUUUUUAAUUUUUUUUUUUUUUUUCCUAAUAACGAUAUGAUCGAUACUGCAUAUAUGAUGCACGCGGAACACAAGGGAUGGCAAGUAACAUUUUACUAAUUUCGAGAAAAUCAAGUGUAAAGUUAUUUGUAUUCGAUAUGAUUAUUAUAGAGUAUUAUCGUCACUGUUCUUGUAUUCGAAUGAUAAAAAAAAAGUUUUAUACACAUGAUAAAGAGACAUAAGUGUGUUAACAGCUGCUGUGGACGCUUGUACCUAUAUACAACACACACAUACUUCUAAUCUAUUACGGCGUUUCCGUUUGAAGACUAUUUUAGUGCGAUCUAGUAUUUGAUACUAGAUUGCAGCACAUGACGAAUAAAUCGCUUAUAUUUCUUUACCACAAAAUAAAAUGGAAAAUUGGUAGUUCAGCUGCUGUGCACUCAACUCGGGUUUUUGUAAAAAUGUCACUUUUAUACCAUCCCGUGUGUUCUAGGCACCUCGUAUUAUGUCCGCGGUUGUAAUGAUAAUAUUUAUCGUCGCCGUAAUUAUUGUUAUCGAACCGACGGCGGCACGACCGAAUCGCACUUUUUUAUCUGAACAUCACUAAACGGUCGAAAAAGUCUCUCGGAAAACGCUCGUUUUCCUCGCCCUCUUGCGGGCCCGAUAUCCGGCCAAAACAAGAGCGAUUCGGCCUCGAGCCACGGCGACAUUGAUAAUUACGACGGCGUUCACGAACGAUAUUAUUGUACGGUGAUGUUUUCGGAUAUGGCAAUAAAAACAAAAAAAAAAAAAAAAAAAAAAAAAAAAAAAUGAAUAAUAUGUAUGUUUAGCGUGUUUCAUCUUUAAUCCUCUUGUUCUUAUAUUCAUAUUCAUAUUAUUAUUGUGAUUUUUUACGAUUUCGCUAUAAUACC